UGGCUUAGAAGCAGCCACUCAUUCAAAGAGUGCGUAAUAGCUCACUGGUCGAGUGGUUUUGCGCAGAAAAUGUAACGGGGCUAAGUGUUCAACCGAAGCUUAGGCAUUGUACUUUGUACAUUGGGUAGGGGAGCGUCGUAUGCGGGGCGAAGUCAGAGCGGAAGCACUGGUGGACUGCAUACGAGUGAGAAUGCCGGAAUAAGUAGCGAGAAUUAUGUGAGAAUCAUAAUGGCCGAAAAUCUAAGGUUUCUUGGGGAAGGUUCGUCCGCCCAAGGUUAGUCGGGAGCUAAGCUCAGGCCGAAAGGCGUAGGCGAUGCACAUACGGUAGAAAUUCCGUAACCACCGAACAUUUAAGCUAGAGGGACGCUUUCUUUAAGGUUAUCCCGGGCGAUGGUUGCCCCGGGCGUAAGGGACCGAAAUAUAGUAGGGAAGUAACUGGCGAGAGAGACGAGAAAAGCUCUAGUGUAUACUAAGGUGCCCGUACCGCAAACCGACACAGGUAGAUGGGAUGAGUAUUCUAAGGCCAACGGGAGAAGGGUUGUUAAGGAACUCGGCAAAUUGGCCCCGUAACUUCGGGAUAAGGGGCGCCUGCGAGAGCAGGCCGCAGUGAAAAGGCCCAAGCGACUGUUUAGCAAAAACACAGCUCUCUGCUAAAUCGAAAGAUGACGUAUAGGGGGUGACGCCUGCCCGGUGCUGGAAGGUUAAGGGGAGUGCUUAGCGCAAGCGAAGGUGCGAACUUAAGCCCCAGUAAACGGCGGCCGUAACUAUAACGGUCCUAAGGUAGCGAAAUUCCUUGUCAGGUAAGUUCUGACCCGCACGAAUGGCGUAACGAUUUGGGCACUGUCUCAACAGCCCGCCCGGCGAAAUUGUAGUACCGGUGAAGAUGCCGGUUUCCCGCAACUAGACGGAAAGACCCCAUGGAGCUUCACUGUAGCUUGAUAUUGGAUCUCGGUAUUCCAUGUACAGGAUAGGUGGGAGACUUGGAAGUAAGCGCGCCAGCGUUUAUGGAGUCAACCUUGGGAUACCACUCUUGGGAUAUUGGGAUUCUAACCUGCGACCAUGAAUCUGGUCGGGGGACACUGUCAGGUGGGCAGUUUGACUGGGGCGGUCGCCUCCAAAAGAGUAACGGAGGCGCUCAAAGGUUCGUUCAGCACGGAUGGAAAUCGUGCACUGAGUGUAAACGCAUAAACGAGCCUAACUGCGAGAAUGACGGUUCGAGCAGUAACGAAAGUUGGAGUUAGUGAUCCGGCGGUAUGUGAAUGGAAAUGCCGUCGCUCAACGGAUAAAAGCUACCCUGGGGAUAACAGGCUGAUCUCCCCCAAGAGUCCACAUCGACGGGGAGGUUUGGCACCUCGAUGUCGGCUCAUCGCAUCCUGGGGCUGAAUUCGGUCCCAAGGGUUUGGCUGUUCGCCAAUUAAAGCGGUACGCGAGCUGGGUUCAGAACGUCGUGAGACAGUUCGGUCCCUAUCUGUUGCGGGCGUAAGAGAUUUGAAGGGAGCUGUCCUUAGUACGAGAGGACCGGGAUGGACGUACCUCUGGUGCACCAGUUGUUCUGCCAAGGGCAUAGCUGGGUAGCUAAGUACGGACGAGAUAAACGCUGAAGGCAUCUAAGCGUGAAACUCCCCUCGAGAUAAGUGUUCCCAUCCUUCGGGAGUAAGGCCCCUUGUAGACUACAAGGUUGAUAGGUCAGGAGUGGAAGUGCAGUAAUGUAUGGAGCGGACUGAUACUAAUAGGCCGAGGGCUUGACCUU
rnacentral:rRNA from 1 species